rnacentral:rRNA from 1 species
CAGCAGUAGCCACGGUAACACGGAGGGGGCUAGCGUUGUUCGGAAUUACUGGGCGUAAAGCGCACGUAGGCGGCUUGGUAAGUUAGAGGUGAAAGCCUGGAGCUCAACUCCAGAAUUGCCUUUAAGACUGCCGAGCUAGCAGGUGAGAGAGGUAAGUGGAAUUCCGAGUGUAGAGGUGAAAUUCGUAGAUAUUCGGAAGAACACCAGUGGCGAAGGCGGCUUACUGGCUCAUACUGGACGCUGAGGUGCGAAAGCGUGGGGAGCAAACAGGAUUAGAUACCCGCGUAGUCCCUGUCUCUUAUAC